UACAGAGGUCCCAAGCGUUGUUCGGAUUCACUGGGCGUAAAGGGCGCGUAGGCGGUCGGGUAAGUCUGACGUGAAAUCUUCAAGCUCAACUUGGAAACUGCGUCGGAUACUAUUCGGCUAGAGGAAUGGAGGGGAGACUGGAAUACUUGGUGUAGCAGUGAAAUGCGUAGAUAUCAAGUGGAACACCAGUGGCGAAGGCGAGUCUCUGGACAUUUCCUGACGCUGAGGCACGAAAGCCAGGGGAGCAAACGGG
rnacentral:rRNA from 1 species